rnacentral:rRNA from 1 species
UACAGAGGUCUCAAGCGUUGUUCGGAUUCAUUGGGCGUAAAGGGUGCGUAGGCGGCGCGGUAAGUCGGGUGUGAAAUCCCUGGGCUCAACCCAGGAACUGCGUCCGAUACUGGGAGGCUUGAAUCCGGGAGAGGGAUGCGGAAUUCCAGGUGUAGCGGUGAAAUGCGUAGAUAUCUGGAGGAACACCGGUGGCGAAGGCGGCAUCCUGGACCGGUAUUGACGCUGAGGUGCGAAAGCGUGGGGGGCAAACAGG